rnacentral:rRNA from 2 species
UCGAACGCUAAGCCAUCUUCGGAUGGUGGAAAGUGGCGCACGGGUGAGUAACACGUGGGGACCUACCUGAUAGUAAGGGACAACAGUUGGAAACGACUGCUAAUACCUUAUACGCUCUUCGGAGGAAAGAUUUAUCGCUAUCAGAUGGACCCGCGCUAGAUUAGAUAGUUGGUGAGGUAAUGGCUCACCAAGUCUGCGAUCUAUAGCUGGUUUGAGAAGAUGAUCAGCCACAUUGGAACUGAGACACGGUCCAGACUCC